AGUUUGAUCCUGGCUCAGGAUGAACGCUAGCUACAGGCUUAACACAUGCAAGUCGAGGGGCAGCAUCAUCAAAGCUUGCUUUGAUGGAUGGCGACCGGCGCACGGGUGAGUAACACGUAUCCAACCUGCCGACAACACUGGGAUAGCCUUUCGAAAGAAAGAUUAAUACCGGAUGGCAUAGUUUUCCCGCAUGGGAUAAUUAUUAAAGAAUUUCGGUUGUCGAUGGGGAUGCGUUCCAUUAGGCAGUUGGCGGGGUAACGGCCCACCAAACCUACGAUGGAUAGGGGUUCUGAGAGGAAGGUCCCCCACAUUGGAACUGAGACACGGUCCAAACUCCUACGGGAGGCAGCAGUGAGGAAUAUUGGUCAAUGGACGAGAGUCUGAACCAGCCAAGUAGCGUGAAGGAUGACUGCCCUAUGGGUUGUAAACUUCUUUUAUACGGGAAUAAAGUUAGCCACGUGUGGCUUUUUGUAUGUACCGUAUGAAUAAGGAUCGGCUAACUCCGUGCCAGCAGCCGCGGUAAUACGGAGGAUCCGAGCGUUAUCCGGAUUUAUUGGGUUUAAAGGGAGCGUAGGCGGGUUGUUAAGUCAGUUGUGAAAGUUUGCGGCUCAACCGUAAAAUUGCAGUUGAUACUGGCGACCUUGAGUGCAACAGAGGUAGGCGGAAUUCGUGGUGUAGCGGUGAAAUGCUUAGAUAUCACGAAGAACUCCGAUUGCGAAGGCAGCUUACUGGAUUGUAACUGACGCUGAUGCUCGAAAGUGUGGGUAUCAAACAGGAUUAGAUACCCUGGUAGUCCACACAGUAAACGAUGAAUACUCGCUGUUGGCGAUAUACGGUCAGCGGCCAAGCGAAAGCAUUAAGUAUUCCACCUGGGGAGUACGCCGGCAACGGUGAAACUCAAAGGAAUUGACGGGGGCCCGCACAAGCGGAGGAACAUGUGGUUUAAUUCGAUGAUACGCGAGGAACCUUACCCGGGCUUAAAUUGCAACUGACUGAACCGGAAACGGUUCUUUCUUCGGACAGUUGUGAAGGUGCUGCAUGGUUGUCGUCAGCUCGUGCCGUGAGGUGUCGGCUUAAGUGCCAUAACGAGCGCAACCCUUAUCGAUAGUUACUAGCAGGUCAUGCUGAGGACUCUAUUGAGACUGCCGUCGUAAGAUGUGAGGAAGGUGG
rnacentral:rRNA from 1 species